UACGAAGGGGGCUAGCGUUGCUCGGAAUCACUGGGCGUAAAGGGUGCGUAGGCGGGUCUUUAAGUCAGGGGUGAAAUCCUGGAGCUCAACUCCAGAACUGCCUUUGAUACUGAAGAUCUUGAGUUCGGGAGAGGUGAGUGGAACUGCGAGUGUAGAGGUGAAAUUCGUAGAUAUUCGCAAGAACACCAGUGGCGAAGGCGGCUCACUGGUCCGGUACUGACGCUGAGGUGCGAAAGCGUGGGGAGCAAACAGGG
rnacentral:rRNA from 1 species